GACGAACGCUGGCGGCGUGCUUAACACAUGCAAGUCGAACGGAAAGGCCUUGCUUGCAGGGUACUCGAGUGGCGAACGGGUGGGUAACACGUGGGUGAUCUGCCCUGCACUUCGGGAUAAGCCUGGGAAACUGGGUCUAAUACCGGAUAGGAGCCAUUUUUAGUGGGAUGGUUGGAAAGUUUUUUCGGUGUAGGAUGAGCUCGCGGCCUAUCAGCUUGUUGGUGGGGUAAUGGCCUACCAAGGCGGCGACGGGUAGCCGGCCUGAGAGGGUGGACGGCCACAUUGGGACUGAGAUACGGCCCAGACUCCUACGGGAGGCAGCAGUGGAGAAUAUUGCACAAUGGGCGCAAGCCUGAUACAGCGACGCCGGGUGGGGGAUGACGGCCUUCGGGUUGUAAACUCCUUUCGCUAGGGACGAAGCUUUUGUGACGGUACCUAGAUAGGAAGCACCGGCUAACUACGUG
rnacentral:rRNA from 1 species